GAUGAACGCUGGCGGCGUGCUUAACACAUGCAAGUCGAACGAAGCACUUUACUUGAUUUCUUCGGAAUGAUUGUUCUGUGACUGAGUGGCGGACGGGUGAGUAACGCGUGGGUAACCUGCCUCAUACAGGGGGAUAACAGUUAGAAAUGGCUGCUAAUACCGCAUAAGCGCACAGUACCGCAUGGUACGGUGUGAAAAACCCAGGUGGUGUGAGAUGGAUCCGCGUCUGAUUAGCCAGUUGGCGGGGUAACGGCCCACCAAAGCGACGAUCAGUAGCCGACCUGAGAGGGUGACCGGCCACAUUGGGACUGAGACACGGCCCAA
rnacentral:rRNA from 1 species